UACGUAGGGGGCAAGCGUUGUCCGGAAUCAUUGGGCGUAAAAGCGCACGUAGGCGGCCCGAUAAGUCCGUUGUGAAAGUCAGAGGCUCAACCUCUGGAGGCCAAUGGAUACUGUCGGGCUAGAGUCCGGAAGAGGCGAGUGGAAUUCCUGGUGUAGCGGGUGGAAAUGCGCAGAUAUCAGGAGGGAACACCAAUGGCGAAGGCAGCUCGCUGGGACGGUACUGACGCUGAGGUGCGAAAGCGUGGGGGAGCAAACAGG
rnacentral:rRNA from 1 species